AGAAUCAACGCUGGCGGCGUGCCUAACACAUGCAAGUCGAACGCGGUUACCCCGCAAGGGGUAACUGAGUGGCGAACGGGUGAGUAACACGUGGGUGACCUACCUUCUAAUGGGGGAUAACGUCCCGAAAGGGACGCUAAUACCGCAUAACAUCCUGUCCUUGAACGGAUGGUGAUCAAAGCCGGGGAUCGCAAGACCUGGCGUUUGAAGAGGGGCCCGCGUCCGAUUAGCUAGUUGGUGAGGUAAUGGCUCACCAAGGCGACGA
rnacentral:rRNA from 1 species